AGGGUUUGAUCCUGGCUCAGAGUGAACGCUGGCGGCGUGGAUUAGGCAUGCAAGUCGAGCGGUCUCGAAAAGACGAACUUCUUGAACUUUUGGAAGUUCCGGCGAAAGUCGGAAUGGAAGAAAGGGAGAGAAGGGAGUUUUUCGGGAUAGCGGCAAACGGGUGAGUAACACGUGGGUUAUCUACCCUAAGAUGAGGGAUAGUCCCGCGAAAGCGGGGGUAAUACCUCGUACACCCCGACGUUAUGUCGGGGGAAAGGUGGCUUAAUCCCGAGUUUCUCGGGAUGCUGCUGUCUUAGGAGGAGCCCGCGUCCUAUCAGCUAGUUGGUAGGGUAAUGGCCUACCAAGGCUAUGACGGGUAGCUGGCCUUAGCGGGUGGUCAGCCACACCGGGACUGAGACACUGCCCGGACUCCUACGGGAGGCUGCAGUCGAGAAUCUUUCCCAAUGCCCGCAAGGGUGAGGAUGCGACGUCGCGUGGAGGAUGAAGGCCUUCGGGUCGUAAACUCCUUUUGUCAGGGAAGAAAACCCUGAGGUUAAUAGCCUUGGGGCUUGACGGUACCUGACGAAUAAGCCACGGCUAACUCCGUGCCAGCAGCCGCGGUAAUACGGAGGUGGCUAGCGUUACUCGGUAUUACUGGGUGUAAAGGGUCCGCAGGCGGCUAAGUAAGUAAGAGGUGAAAUCCUCCGGCUUAACCGGAGAACUGCCUCUUAUACUGCUUAGAUAGAGGGCAAGAGAGGAGAGCGGAACUGCCGGUGUAAGGGUGAAAUCUGUGGAUAUCGGCAGGAACACCAGUGGCGAAAGCGGCUCUCUGGCUUGCUCCUGACGCUCAGGGACGAAAGCUAGGGGAGCAAACAGGAUUAGAUACCCUGGUAGUCCUAGCUGUAAACGAUGGGCACUGGGUGUUUGCCUUUUAGGUGAGCGCCGAAGCUAACGCGUUAAGUGCCCCACCUGGGGACUACGGUCGCAAGGCUAAAACUCAAAGGAAUUGACGGGGGCCCGCACAAGCGGUGGAACACGUGGUUUAAUUCGAUGCUACGCGAGGAACCUUACCAGGGUUUGACAUGCUAGGAUGUAUUCCGGCGGAAACGUCGGAAGACCGUAUCCAAUCGGAGCCUAGCACAGGUGCUGCAUGGCUGUCGUCAGCUCGUGCCGUGAGGUGUCGCCUUAAGUGGCUCAACGAGCGCAACCCUCGCCUAUAGUUGCUACCCCGAAGUUACUUCAGAAGCACUCUAUAGGGACUGCCCACGUUAAGUGGGAGGAAGGUGGGGAUGACGUCAAGUCAGCAUGGCCCUUAUGCCCUGGGCUACACACGUGUUACAAUGGCGUGUACAGAGGGAGGCGAAGCCGUAAGGUGGAGCAAAUCCCAAAAAGCACGCCCCAGUUCGGAUUGAGGCUUGCAACUCAGCCUCAUGAAGCCGGAAUCGCUAGUAACGGCGUAUCAGCCACGACGCCGUGAAUACGUUCCCGGGCCUUGUACACACCGCCCGUCAAGCGCUGAAAGUGGGGGGCACCCGAAUCCCGAUGUAAUGUCGGGACACGGUGAAACCCAUGAUUGGUGCUAAGUCGUAACAAGGUAGCCG
rnacentral:rRNA from 1 species